GCAGAGCUCAAAUUGAAAUCUGGCCCUCCGGGGUCCGAGUUGUAAUUGCAGAGGAUGCUUCGGGCGCGGUCCCUGUCUAAGUACCCUGGAACGGGUCGUCAUAGAGGGUGAGAAUCCCGUCUGGGACGGGUGGCCGUGUCCGUGUGAAGCUCCUUCGACGAGUCGAGUUGUUUGGGAAUGCAGCUCUAAAUGGGUGGUAAAUUUCAUCUAAAGCUAAAUAUUGGCCGGAGACCGAUAGCGCACAAGUAGAGUGAUCGAAAGAUGAAAAGCACUUUGAAAAGAGAGUUAAACAGCACGUGAAAUUGUUGAAAGGGAAGCGCUUGCGACCAGACUCGCCCGCGGGGGUUCAGCCGGUACUCGUACCGGUGUACUCCCCCGGGGGCGGGCCAGCGUCGGUUUGGGCGGUCGGUCAAAGGCCUCCGGAAUGUGUCGCCCCCCGGGGCGUCUUAUAGCCGGAGGUGCAAUGCGGCCAGCCUGGACCGAGGAAC
rnacentral:rRNA from 1 species